rnacentral:rRNA from 1 species
GAUGAACGCUGGCGGCGUGCCUAAUACAUGCAAGUCGAGCGAACAGACGAGGAGCUUGCUCCUCUGACGUUAGCGGCGGACGGGUGAGUAACACGUGGAUAACCUACCUAUAAGACUGGGAUAACUUCGGGAAACCGGAGCUAAUACCGGAUAAUAUAUUGAACCGCAUGGUUCAAUAGUGAAAGACGGUUUUGCUGUCACUUAUAGAUGGAUCCGCGCCGCAUUAGCUAGUUGGUAAGGUAACAGCUUACCAAGGCAACGAUGCGUAGCCGACCUGAGAGGGUGAUCGGCGACACUGGAACUGAGACACGGUCCAGACUCCUACGAGAGGCAGCAGUAGGGAAUCUUCCGCAAUGGGCGAAAGCCUGACGGAGCAACGCCGCGUGAGUGAUGAAGGUCUUCGGAUCGUAAAACUCUGUUAUUAGGGAAGAACAAAUGUGUAAGUAACUAUGCACGUCUUGACGGUACCUAAUCAGAAAGCCACGGCUAACUACGUG